rnacentral:rRNA from 1 species
UACGAAGGGGGCUAGCGUUGUUCGGAAUUACUGGGCGUAAAGCGCGCGCAGGCGGCCUUUCAAGUCAGGGGUGAAAGCCCGGAGCUCAACUCCGGAAUUGCCUUUGAAACUGCCAGGCUCGAGUACGGGAGAGGUGAGUGGAAUUCCCAGUGUAGAGGUGAAAUUCGUAGAUAUUGGGAAGAACACCGGUGGCGAAGGCGGCUCACUGGCCCGUUUCUGACGCUCAGGCGCGACAGCGAGGGGAUCAAACAGG